rnacentral:piRNA from 1 species
UUCCUAUCUUAGUAAAAAACAAAACCUGGUC